rnacentral:tRNA from 1 species
UCCCCGCUAGCUCAAAGGCAGAGCAGGGCCCUGUUGAGGCCCGGGUUCCUGGUUCGAAUCCAGGGCGGGGAGCCA